AAGAAUAUAGCAUAAAUUAAUGCAUUUCACUUACACUGAGAAAAUACCCAGAGGGUUGUUCUUAA
rnacentral:tRNA from 1 species